UAGGGAAUCUUCGGCAAUGGACGAAAGUCUGACCGAGCAACGCCGCGUGAGUGAAGAAGGCUUUCGGAUCGUAAAACUCUGUUGUUAGAGAAGAACAAGGACGUUAGUAACUGAACGUCCCCUGACGGUAUCUAACCAGAAAGCCACGGCUAACUACGUGCCAGCAGCCGCGGUAAUACGUAGGUGGCAAGCGUUGUCCGGAUUUAUUGGGCGUAAAGCGAGCGCAGGCGGUUUCUUAAGUCUGAUGUGAAAGCCCCCGGCUCAACCGGGGAGGGUCAUUGGAAACUGGGAGGCUUGAGUGCAGAGGAGGAGAGUGGAAUUCCAUGUGUAGCGGUGAAAUGCAUAGAGAUAUGGAGGAACACCGGUGGCGAAGGCGGCUCUCUGGUCUGAAACUGACGCUGAGGCUCGAAAGCGUGGGGAGCAAACAGG
rnacentral:rRNA from 1 species